rnacentral:lncRNA from 10 species
UUCUCCCCUCCACUCCUUCCUCCUUCCUUUCUUUUUUCCUUUUUUCUUUUCUUUCUUAUUGAAUUCCGUUGAAGAGCCAGGUACUGGGCUAAACAUUUCAAUAGUGGACAAGAUCAUCUUGGUUUCUGCCCUCACAGAAUUUACAAACCAAUGGGAGAGACAGUAAAAAAACUGGGCACGUGGUAAGCCCUAUGCUAGGGAAGCAAUCGCGUGGUGUGGGGCACGCAGAAGAGGUACCUCACCCAGGCUUGGGGAUGUCUUAAGUGGCUCUGGGCUAUUGGAGUGGCAAAGUCUACGGCCUGCAGUGGCCAGGAAGGUAAUCUUUGUCCACCUGCCAUGUCUGCUUUCCUGGAGAAAGCUCAUAGCCUUCUGCUGAGAAAAUCACCUUGACAUAGAGAAAAUCACCUUGACAUAGAGAAAAUCAUCAUCCAAGAGCAAUUCAGCCCUCAUUGCAUGCUAGAUGCCUUCCUUGCCAAGGGCACUAAAUGUGCCAACAAAUGUCAGUGUGCUCUGGGAGGUCUCAUUUGCAUAGUGUGAGGCCCCAAGAAUAAUGGGGAUCCAGGCUUCCCAUCCCUCUCUCCAUGGAAGCUGGGAAGGUUCCAAGC